UGGCAUUUCUCAGUGGCCCAGAGG
rnacentral:piRNA from 1 species